rnacentral:rRNA from 1 species
UACGUAGGGGGCAAGCGUUGUCCGGAAUCAUUGGGCGUAAAGCGCGUGUAGGCGGCCCGAUAAGUCCGCUGUGAAAGUCCAGGGCUCAACCCUGGGAUGCCGGUGGAUACUGUCGGGCUCGAGUCCGGAAGAGGCGAGUGGAAUUCCUGGUGUAGCGGUGAAAUGCGCAGACAUCAGGAGGAACACCAGUGGCGAAAGCGGCGACCUGGGCCAAUAUUGACGCUGAGGUGCGAAAGCGUGGGGAGCAAACAGG